rnacentral:rRNA from 1 species
AGAGUUUGAUCAUGGCUCAGGACGAACGCUGGCGGCGUGCCUAACACAUGCAAGUCGCACGGAGGUAGCAAUACCUCAGCGGCGAACGGGUGAGUAAUGAAUCGCUAAUGUACCCUGGACUCUGGGAUAGCUGGCCGAAAGGUCGGGUAAUACCAGAUGAUAUAUCCGCUCCGCAUGGAGUGGAUCUCAAAGGUCCGCCGGUCUGGGCGCAGGCGAUUUCGUAUCAGCUAGUUGGUGAGGUAACGGCUCACCAAGGCGACGACGCGUAGCCGGACUGAGAGGUUGGCCGGCCACAUUGGGACUGAGACACUGCCCAGACUCCUACGGGGGGCUGCAGUAACGAAUCUUCCGCAAUGCACGAAAGUGUGACGGAGCGACGCCGCGUGUAGGACGAAGCCCUUCGGGGUGUAAACUACUGUCAGGGGAAAGAAAGUUCUGAUCUACCCCAGAGGAAGGGACGGCUAACUCUGUGCCAGCCGCCGCGGUAAUAC